rnacentral:rRNA from 1 species
CAGUCGCCGCGGGAAAACGUAGGGUGCAAGCGUUAAUCGGAAUUACUGGGCGUAAAGCGUGCGUAGGUGGUGGUUUAAGUCCGUUGUGAAAGCCCUGGGCUCAACCUGGGAAUUGCAGUGGAUACUGGGUCACUAGAGUGUGGUAGAGGAUAGUGGAAUUUCCGGUGUAGCAGUGAAAUGCGUAGAGAUCGGAAGGAACAUCUGUGGCGAAGGCGACUAUCUGGGCCAACACUAACACUGAGGCACGAAAGCGUGGGGAGCAAACAGGAUUAGAUACCCCUGUAGUCCCUGUCUCUUAUAC